rnacentral:rRNA from 1 species
GUCUACAGCCAUGCCAUCCUGAACAAGCCCAGUGUCUGAUCUCAGAAGCUAAGCAGGGUCAGGCCUUGUUAGUACUUGAAUGGGAGACCACCUAGGAAGACCAGGUGCUGUAGGCA